ACCUGGGAUAGCUCAGUGGGUGGAGCAUGAGACUCUAAAUCUCAGGUUUGUGGAUUCGAAUCCCACAUUGGGCG